GCAAGUGUAGAUAUAGAUCUUAUUCGCCUGAAUACUGUACUUGUAUAAAUUAUAAUGAAGAAUUUCGAUGUCUGGAUGAUUUAGAAUGUAUUAAUAAACGUUACUUUUGUGAUGGAUAUAAACAUUGUAAUGAUGGUUCGGAUGAGGAUCCCGAAAGAUGUAGAGCCCUACCUUGUCCAAAAGAAAUGCGUAAAUGUGCAGAUCGAAUAAGAUGUAUUUAUGCAAUAGAAUUCUGUGAUGGCAAACAAGACUGUUUAGACGGAACAGAUGAAAAUGCGUUGUUAUGUGAUGAAACAAAUUUUAAAUGUAAAGAGGAUGAGUUUCGAUGCAAAGACUGGACAAUACAUCGUUACUCUAGAACCGGUUAUUUUAAGUUAUGCGUGAGCAUGAGUCAUGUGUGUGAUGGUAGAAAAAAUUGCUAUGACAAUUCAGAUGAGGAAUUAGAAGUAUGCCAGGUGAAAACAUGUCAAGAAGGACAGGUUAAAUGUGAGUAUUCGUUUAGAUGUAUAUCCCUGUGGGCUUUGUGCAGCUUUGCCCGGUAUAGAACGUGUGGCGAUGGUUCGAAUAUGUCUCUUAGAAGGAAAUAUUGUCCAGGAUAUAAUUGUGGACCUGGACUUACUAAAUGUAAAGAUAAUAUACAGUGUGUGACUGAAAGACGUUUUUGCGAUUCAUCGCCUUUUAAACGAAAACGAAAAUGGUUAUAUGACUGUAAGGAUAAAUCAGACGAGGACUUAGAUUUCUGUAAAGAGAAAGCUUGUGCUAAGGGUUAUGGAAGAUGUAAAGAUGGUAAACAAUGUAUCCCACCAUAUGCUAUAUGUGAUGGAAAAGUUCCUGCAGGGACGGAUCAGACGAGGUUAAAGACAUGUGUCUAGAAUACAAGUGCCCUGAUGGGAAAAAGAAAUGUGAAGACAAUAUACAGUGUAUAAAUCAAGACUCAUUUUGCAAUGCCAUAACUGAUUGUUUUGAUCAUUCAGACGAAGGGGAGAUAUGUAUAGAAUACAAGUGCCCUGACGGGAAAAAGAAAUGUGCAGACGAUAUGCAGUGUAUCAAUCAAGACUCAUUUUGCAAUGGCAGAAUUGAUUGUUUUGAUCAUUCAGACGAAGAAGAGAUAUGCAUAGGGAUUUAGCACAGGAAAGUGGAUAAAAAUAAUUGCAAGUACAAUAUGAAGCCAAGUUUUGUAAUUAUAUUUUCUUGACUUACAUCAGCAUAUUUCAAUGCGUAUUAAAUAUAUUGAA